UGCCAGCCGCCGCGGUAAUACGGAGGGGGCUAGCGUUAUUCGGAAUUAUUGGGCGUAAAGGGCGCGUAGGCGGUUUGGUAAGUUCGUUGUGAAAGCCCCCGGCUCAACCGGGGAAUUGCGACGGAUACUGCCAGACUUGAGUCCCGGAGAGGGUGGUGGAAUUCCCAGUGUAGCGGUGAAAUGCGUAGAUAUUGGGAGGAACACCGGUGGCGAAGGCGGCCACCUGGACGGGUACUGACACUGAGGUACGAAAGCGUGGGUAGCAAACAGGAUUAGAUA
rnacentral:rRNA from 1 species